AGAGUUUGAUCAUGGCUCAGAAUCAACGCUGGCGGCGCGCUUAACACAUGCAAGUCGCACGAGAAAGUGGAGCAAUCCAUGAGUAAAGUGGUGUACGGGUGAGUAACACGUGGAUCAUCUACCUCUUAGUGGGGAAUAACCCUGGGAAACCGGGGCUAAUACCGCAUAAGCCUGAAAAGGGAAAGCAGGAAUGCGCUGAGAGAGGAGUCCGCGGCCGAUUAGCUAGUUGGUAGGGUAAUGGCCUACCAAGGCAAUGAUCGGUAGCCGGCCUGAGAGGGCACACGGCCACACUGGCACUGAAACACGGGCCAGACUCCUACGGGAGGCAGCAGUGGGGAAUCUUGCACAAUGGAGGAAACUCUGAUGCAGCGACGCCGCGUGAGCGAUGAAGCCCUUCGGGGUGUAAAGCUCUUUCGACGGGAACGAUAAUGACGGUACCCGGAGAAGAAGCUGCGGCUAACUACGUGCCAGCAGCCGCGGUAAUACGUAGGCAGCAAGCGUUGUUCGGAAUUGCUGGGCGUAAAGAGUGUGUAGGCGGUUUUCUAUGUUCGGUGUGAAAUCUCCCGGCUUAACUGGGAGGGUGCGCCGAAAACUGGAGAGCUUGAGUAUGGGAGAGGAAAGCGGAAUUCCUGGUGUAGCGGUGAAAUGCGUAGAUAUCAGGAGGAACACCUGCGGUGUAGACGGCUUUCUGGACCAUCACUGACGCUGAGACACGAAAGCGUGGGUAGCAAACAGGAUUAGAUACCCCCGUAGUCC
rnacentral:rRNA from 1 species